CCCCUUUAUAAUCAUUUGUGCCUCCUGUUAGUCCACUAAUUCAUAACAUUCCAACAAAAAUGGUGUAGUUACACUGUAAAGGGUCCAGACUAACCACUUCAGUGAAAUAUUUAGUCCAUAACACAUUUAUAUGUUGAUAAACAUCCACGGAAUGUAGAAGUAUCAUUUCAAAUUAGCCGAUGAAGCGAUCAAAUCUUCGGCGCAUUCUGAAGUAUAGCUUCUUUUCACAUGUAAACAUGGAUUUAUUGAUGUCAAAAUAGCCGCUGACCUCUGCCC